AGCUGACAGACCAGAGGGAGGCGGCAGGAGAAGAGCUUCCCGCAGGCGUCCUGAGAGGCCAGCACCUCCGUCCAGGCAGGAGCUGUCGGCCUUGUGCAGACCCCAGCUUCCAUGACGGAGAGCCGCUGGGAUUCUGGGGCGCUGGGUUCCCAACGCACCCCUGAAGCCCGAGGCUGGGGCUCCCCUCCUCCGCUCGGUGGCUCUGUAGCCAGUGGGCAGUCGGGCCUGGGCGGAUGAAGUCGGCUGACGGCGCCAGGGGAACUCGCGACACGGGAACUCGCCACGGGACACCGCACAGCUCCGCGGCGUGAGGCACAUUCACGUGGUCGCGGGACCAGAAUUACCCCGUCCUCCCCAGCGGAAGCGUCGUAACCCGGUGUAUCCAAAACCAGCUCCUGCCGCCCGCUCCUGCCGUGAGAACCACUGAUGACAGCCUCACGAUGAUGCGGAGACACAAUUCACGGGCCAUACGUUCGCCUCUUGAAUGUGAUCCCCUGAAUGGCUUCUAGCGUCGUCACGGAAACAGGCAACCCCUUCUCCCCCCGGAGAUUUUAGCUGGUUUUUGGCAAGGAGAGGCAGCCCUGGGAGCUUCACUCCCCACCUCCCAUCCCUUGGCCGCAGGCUGUGUGGCCUGUGUCCGGCCUGGGUCACCCCUGCCGCAGGCAGCUGCAGAGUCUCACUGUGUGGCUAGGCGGGACGGUACCCACCAUCCGGACGGACAUGGGACACUCUCUCUAAGCCUCGGAGAUCCCCGCGAGUGCGUCACCCUGAGGGUGACCUGGAGGGCCGAGCCUGAGGGCUCAGUGACCCCACGAGCCCCAGCAUUCCCACAGCCAAGCCGGCUGCGCCUCCACAACACCACAC